rnacentral:rRNA from 1 species
UACGUAGGGUGCGAGCGUUAAUCGGAAUUACUGGGCGUAAAGCGUGCGCAGGCGGUUAUUUAAGUCAGGUGUGAAAGCCCUGGGCUUAACCUAGGAAUUGCGCUUGAGACUGGAUAGCUUGGAGUGCGGCAGAGGGAGGUGGAAUUCCACGUGUAGCAGUGAAAUGCGUAGAGAUGUGGAGGAACACCGAUGGCGAAGGCAGCCCCCUGGGCCAAUACUGACGCUCAUGCACGAAAGCGUGGGGAGCAAACAGG